rnacentral:rRNA from 2 species
AAUCAAGUGCCUUAAGGGUGUUCGACGGAUGCCUUGGCGCUGAGAGGCGAUGAAGGACGUGCUACGCUGCGAUAAGCCAUGGGGAGCUGCGAAGAAGCUUUGAUCCGUGGAUUUCCGAAUGGGGAAACCCACCUUCGAUAGCCGGAACUCCAAGGCCUUGCGUUUCGAAAGAGACGUGAGGGUUUGGAUUUCCGGUUAUCAAGAGAAGGUAUGAGAUCUCUGAAUACAUAGGAGGUUUCAAGCGAACCCAGGGAACUGAAACAUCUAAGUACCUGGAGGAAAGGACAUCAACCGAGACUCCGCUAGUAGUGGCGAGCGAACGCGGACCAGGCCAGUCAUCAUUGGAAGACAAUUGGAAUCUGUCAGGAAAGCAGAGCCUUAGAGGGUGAUAGCCCCGUACAAGUAAUUCAACCAUUGAUGCUCGAGUAAGGCGGGACACGUGAAAUCCUGUCUGAACAUGGGGGGACCACCCUCCAAGCCUAAGUACUCCUCAGCGACCGAUAGUGAACCAGUACCGUGAGGGAAAGGUGAAAAGCACCCCGACGAGGGGAGUGAAAUAGUUCCUGAAAUCGGACACCUACAAACAGACGGAGCCCAAGAUACGUUCUGGGUGACGUCGUACCUUUUGUAUUAUGGGCCAGCGACUUAAUUUAACGAGCAAGCUUAAGCCGGUAGGUGUAGGCGCAGCGAAAGCGAGUCUGAAUAGGGCGUCAAGUUCGUUGGAUUAGACCCGAAACCUAGUGAUCUAGCCAUGAGCAGGUUGAAGGUGAGGUAACACUCACUGGAGGACCGAACGGGUGCCUGUUGAAAAAGGCUCCGAUGACUUGUGGUUAGGGGUGAAAGGCCAAUCAAACUGGGAAAUAGCUGGUUCUCCGCGAAAGAUAUUUAGGUAUCGCCUCGGACGAAUACCUCAGGGGGUAGAGCACUGGAUGGGCUAGGGGGACUUACCGUCUUACCAAACCCAACCAAACUCCGAAUACCUGAGAGUACUAUCCGGGAGUCACACGGCGGGUGCUAACGUCCGUCGUGGAGAGGGAAACAACCCUGACCUACAGCUAAGGCCCCCAAUUCGUGGCUAAGUGGGAAAGGAUGUGGAAAUCCCAAAACAACCAGGAGGUUGGCUUAGAAGCAGCCAUCCUUUAAAGAAAGCGUAACAGCUCACUGGUCUAAAUAAGGGUUUCUGCGCCGAAGAUGUAACGGGGCUCAAGCCACGAGCCGAAGCUUAGGGUGUGCGCAAGCACGCGGUAGCGGAGCGUUCUGUAAGCCUGCGAAGGGCGACCCGUGAGGGCGCCUGGAGGUAUCAGAAGUGCGAAUGCUGGCAUGAGUAACGACAAACACUGUGAAAGACAGUGUCGCCGAAAGUCCAAGGGUUCCUGCGUAAAGUUAAUCUUCGCAGGGUUAGCCGGUCCCUAAGGCGAGGCCGAAAGGCGUAGUCGAUGGGAAUCACGUGAAUAUUCGUGAGCCAGUGGAUGGUGACGAAUCCCUUAUGUUGUUCGACCUUACUGGAUUGGUCGGGCCUCGACGGGGUUCCAGGAAAUAGCCUCCACAUCAGACCGUACCCGAAACCGACACAGGUGGACUGGUAGAGUAUACCAAGGCGCUUGAGAGAACUAUGUUGAAGGAACUCGGCAAUUUACCUCCGUAACUUCGGGAUAAGGAGGCCUUCUGUUUGCGCAAGCAGGCAGGAGGGGCACAGACCAGGGGGUGGCAACUGUUUAACAAAAACACAGGGCUCUGCGAAAUCGCAAGAUGACGUAUAGGGUCUGACGCCUGCCCGGUGCCGGAAGGUUAAGAGGAGGAGUGCAAGCUCUGAAUUGAAGCCCCGGUAAACGGCGGCCGUAACUAUAACGGUCCUAAGGUAGCGAAAUUCCUUGUCGGGUAAGUUCCGACCUGCACGAAUGGCGUAAUGACUUCCCCGCUGUCUCCAACAUAGACUCAGUGAAAUUGAAUUCCCCGUGAAGAUGCGGGGUUCCUGCGGUCAGACGGAAAGACCCCGUGCACCUUUACUGUAGCUUUGCGCUGGUAUUCGUGACUGUUUGUGUAGAAUAGGUGGUAGGCUUUGAAGCUCGGGCGCCAGCUCGGGUGGAGCCGCAAUGUGAAAUACCACCCUAAUGGUUAUGGAUAUCUAACCGCGAUCCCUUAUCGGGUUCCGGGACAGCGCAUGGUGGGCAGUUUGACUGGGGCGGUCGCCUCCCAAAGAGUAACGGAGGCGUGCGACGGUAGGCUCAGAACGGUCGGAAAUCGUUCGUCGAGUACAAUGGCAUAAGCCUGCCUGACUGCGAGACCAACAAGUCGAGCAGAGACGAAAGUCGGUCAUAGUGAUCCCGGUGGUCCCGCGUGGAUGGGCCAUCGCUCAACGGAUAAAAGGUACGCCGGGGAUAACAGGCUGAUGACGCCCAAGAGUCCAUAUCGACGGCGUCGUUUGGCACCUCGAUGUCGGCUCAUCACAUCCUGGGGCUGGAGAAGGUCCCAAGGGUUCGGCUGUUCGCCGAUUAAAGUGGUACGUGAGCUGGGUUCAGAACGUCGUGAGACAGUUCGGUCCCUAUCUGCCGUGGGUGUUGGAAUGUUGAGAGGAUUUGCCCCUAGUACGAGAGGACCGGGGUGAACGUACCUCUGGUGGAGCUGUUGUCGCGCCAGCGGCAGUGCAGCAUAGCUAUGUACGGACGGGAUAACCGCUGAAAGCAUCUAAGCGGGAAACCCACCUCAAAACGAGCAUUCCCUUGAGAACCGUGGAAGACGACCACGUUGAUAGGCCGGAUGUGGAAGUGCAGCAAUGCAUGUAGCUUACCGGUACUAAUCGUUCGAUUGGCUUGAUUGCUCUCAUUAU